GACGAACGCUGGCGGCGUGCUUAACACAUGCAAGUCGAACGGAAAGGCCCUGCUUUUGUGGGGUGCUCGAGUGGCGAACGGGUGAGUAACACGUGAGUAACCUGCCCUUGACUUUGGGAUAACUUCAGGAAACUGGGGCUAAUACCGGAUAGGAGCUCCUGCUGCAUGGUGGGGGUUGGAAAGUUUCGGCGGUUGGGGAUGGACUCGCGGCUUAUCAGCUUUUUGGUGGGGUAGUGGCUUACCAAGGCUUUGACGGGUAGCCGUCCUGAGAGGGUGACCGGCCACAUUGGGACUGAGAUACGGCCCAGACUCCUACGGGAGGCAGCAGUGGGGAAUAUUGCACAAUGGGCGGAAGCCUGAUGCAGCAACGCCGCGUGCGGGAUGACGGCCUUCGGGUUGUAAACCGCUUUCGCCUGUGACGAAGCGUGAGUGACGGUAAUGGGUAAAGAAGCACCGGCUAACUACGUG
rnacentral:rRNA from 1 species